rnacentral:lncRNA from 1 species
UGGAAAAGCACAUGAGGUAUCAAGAGCGUCUUUGUGACCACAGGCUGGGGGCCAGGGCUAGAGGAGGGGCUUUACAGUGAGAAAAAUCUGCUGAAGAUCUCAUUCUUCCCUCUUCCUGCAGCCCCACAACAGCCCUUCUCUGGAUGUGAGUCAGCAUCUGGAUCCUAAUAAAGAUGAGGUCAGAAAAGGUCCACCUGGGAACAUGAAGGAUCUUCCCUGGGGGGUGAAGUUUGACAUUCCCUCCAUCACCCUUGAGUCAGACAGUGACAGUUGCAGAUCAUCUAAAACCGCACCCUGUAGGACGGAGGGGUCCCUGGAUACCCACCUCAGCCCAGCUUUCUCUGCUUCACCAAAAAGCCCAGUUCAGCAGCAGAAACCUCCAGGUGUUGCUGCAGGAAAGAUGACUCCCAAGCUGCGUUCCCCCACCUCUCUGGACUUGUGUGGGAAGAAGUCACCUGCAGACAUUGCUGCUCUUCCAAUGAGCCUGGAGACCUUGAAGGAAAUCGCUGCCAACACCAAAAGCAUCUCCCUCAUUGCGGCCAGUCGCCGUUCCAGAGUCCAACAGAGGGACCUUGGGAGUGAUGUCUCCUCAGCCCACUCCUCUGAGGAGGAUACGCUUGAGCUGAAGUAUCUGGAGGCCAGUUCCACCCCAGACUGUCAGAGAAGAGACAGUGCGAGUAGGGGGAGUUUGCUGUCGGAUCCCGCAGCUGGCAGCCAGCUGUGCUCCCCAGCCAGGGGAAUGCUGAAGAACAGGAGGGACCAGGAGAUGCCUGCUGAGAGGACAGCCAGGAAGAAAAGAUCUCGCUCUCUUGAACCAAACUUCCACAGGACCUCAAAAGCUACUCACUGGACUCCCUCAAGCCCCAGUACAGACAAAGCUGGUGAGAACCACCUGUGCCAAGACAGACUCUUCCAUCAGUCAAAAGCCACGAGCAGCAUAUCCACUGCCCCAAAGAUCAAAGUUCCUGUCGACCACCGUUCAGGUAGGGGCCAAAGAGCUGCUGGAGACAUCCUGCAUCAGCUCUGUUGGAAAAGAUGGAUUGUCAUGUGAGAAAUAAACCAGAGUAAAAGCUAA